rnacentral:rRNA from 1 species
AACGAACGCUGGCGGCAUGCCUAACACAUGCAAGUCGAACGAGACCUUCGGGUCUAGUGGCGCACGAGUGCGUAACGCGUGGGAACCUUCCCUUAUGUUCGGAAUAACUCCCCGAAAGGGGUACUAAUACCGGAUAAUGUCUUCUGACCAAAGAUUUAUCGCCUUUGGAUGGUCCCUCGUUGGAUUAGCUAGUUGGUAGGGUAAAAGCCUCCCAAGGCGACGAUCCAUAGCUUGUCUGAGAGGAUGAUCAGCCACACUGGGACUGAGAAACGGCCCAGACUCCUACGGGAGGGAGCAGUGGGGAACAGUGGACAAUGGGCGAAAGCAUGAUCCAGCAAGGACGCGUGAGUGCUGAAGGUAUUAGGGUUGUAAAGCUCUUUUACCCGGGAUGAUAAUGACAGUACCGGGAGAAUAAGCCACGGCUAACUACGUG